GGCUGCGGACGUCCGGGGACUGGGCCCUCCGCGCCGGCGCCGCCCCCGCCCCCAGCCCCAGUCCCGGGGGUUCAGGGGCGCGCCUGCUCGAGCUCGGGUGUAGUUUGUCGACUGCCUCGAGCCCUGAUCCGGAUGCUGGGGCGCGGGGGAGCUGAAGGGAUCCGCGCUCCCAGACCGCCGGUCCGGCUGGGGAGGGGGCGCCGUGCGUCCUGGGCGCGUCCCCUGAGGCGGAGGACGGUCGUCCGGCGGGAGGACGCGUCCAGGGGGAGCGCCGCAGGUCCGAAAAGAUAGCGGGAGUCGAGGAUGAAGGAAAUGGAGGGGAUGGAGGGGAGUUCCCCCCGGAGGUGGGACCGCGCCGGAGCCCAGAGUUGGAGCCUGACAGGGUGGAAGGCGGCGGGGACUUCGGGGUGACAGGCCGGGACCCCAGGCGUGGCUCGAUCACUCACCCUAGCUGGUCUCCGUCGAGCCACGGCGGCGCCGGGGAGGCGGGUCGGGCCUGCCUCGGAGCCUGUCCCCGGCCGCUCUGGCCGCGCUGAUGGGAUUCCCAGAAGCCCCAGGACGCCGCGGUGGUGUCGGGUCCGUUUCCGCCCCACCAGGCCGUAAACGCCCUGCUGGCGGGACACGGAUUCACGCGUUGCCCUUAGCGAGCGCUUGGUGAGCGCCCACUGUGUGCGCUGCGCAGUGCUGGGGGCCCAGUGGGGACACAGAGCCCCCGGACCUGCCCUCCCGAUGCUUGCAGCCCAGGGAGAUUUAUACUUUGUUUUAGUCCCUUCUGCCUCCCCAGUGCCCUAGAAAAGCUCGUGCACACAGUAGGUGAAUGCGGGUUGAAUAAAUGAGUAAUCGAGACAGAUUGUGAUUUUGUUGUUGUUGUGUUAUAUUUUGUUUUGUUUUGAGACGGAGUUUCGCUCUUUCGCCCAGGCUGGAGUGCAGUGGCACGAUCUAG
rnacentral:lncRNA from 10 species